AAGCUCGUAGUUGAAUUUCGGGGUUAGUAGGUUGGUCAUGCCUCUGGUAUGUACUGGUCUCACUGAUUCCUCCUUCCUGAUGAACCGUAAUGCCAUUAAUUUGGUGUUGCGGGGGAAUUUGGGCUGUUACUUUGAAAAAAUUAGAGUGUUUAAAGCAAGCUAACGCUUGAAUACAUUAGCAUGGAAUAUGAAAUAGGACGUUCGAUCCUAUUUUGUUGGUUUCUAGGAUUGACGUAAUGAUUAUAGGAUAGUUGGG
rnacentral:rRNA from 1 species